UACGGAGGAGGCAAGCGUUAUCCGGAAUUAUUGGGCGUAAAGCGCGCGCAGGCGGUUCCUUAAGUCUGAUGUGAAAGCCCCCGGCUCAACCGGGGAGGGUCAUUGGAAACUGGGGAACUUGAGUACUGAAGAGGAAAGCGGAAUUCCACGUGUAGCGGUGAAAUGCGUAGAGAUGUGGAGGAACACCAGUGGCGAAGGCGGCUUUCUGGUCAGUAACUGACGCUGAGGCGCGAAAGCGUGGGGAGCAAACAGG
rnacentral:rRNA from 1 species